GGUAGGAUGGCCGAUAUAGGUGGCGGAUUGUAGCUCCGUGUAUAGAGGUUUAAAUCCUCUUUCUAUCA